rnacentral:rRNA from 1 species
CCUACGGGAGACAGCAGUGGGGAAUAUUGCACAAUGGGGGAAACCCUGAUGCAGCGACGCCGCGUGAGUGAAGAAGUAUUUCGGUAUGUAAAGCUCUAUCAGCAGGGAAGAAGCAAGACGGUACCUGACUAAGAAGCCCCGGCUAACUACGUGCCAGCAGCCGCGGUAAUACGUAGGGGGCAAGCGUUAUCCGGAUUUACUGGGUGGAAAGGGAGCGUAGACGGUAUGGCAAGUCUGAAGUGAAAGCCCAGGGCUUAACCCUGGGACUGCUUUGGAAACUGUUGAACUGGAGUACAGGAGAGGUAAGCGGAAUUCCUAGUGUAGCGGUGAAAUGCGUAGAUAUUAGGAGGAACACCAGUGGCGAAGGCGGCUUACUGGACUGUAACUGACGUUGAGGCUCGAAAGCGUGGGGAGCAAACAGGAUUAGAUACCCUAGUAGUC